UACGAACUGUGCGAACGUUAUUCGGAAUCACUGGGCUUACAGGGUGCGUAGGCGGCUUGUUAAGUAGGGUGUGAAAGCCCCCGGCUCAACCGGGGAAUUGCGCCCUAAACUGGCGAGCUAGAGUGAGAUAGGGGUGUGUGGAACUUCCGGUGGAGCGGUGAAAUGCGUUGAGAUCGGAAGGAACGCCCGUGGCGAAAGCGAGGUCCUGGACGUCUUCUGACGCUGAGACGCGAAAGCCAGGGGAGCGAACGGG
rnacentral:rRNA from 1 species